ACUGGUGUCAACUCGGUUCCAUGACACGCCGAGUGUCUGCAGAUUUUUGUGCAACAAUUGAAAGGAAAAAUCUAACAUCUUAGAUCUUAGGAAAGGAGUUUUCAAAAUGUGAGGCACGCCUCCCAAGGAUGGCGCCAGAGAGCUUCAAUGGAUGUGCGAAAGAUAUUAGAACGUAGUCUACGUCAAACAUUAAGGCCUAAGUGAAACGGUUCUCUAAUAUUUAAUACAUAUACAUGUAGACAAAUAUGAUAUCAAUUAUUUAAUGACAUUGACAUUGCUUUUUAGAUUUUGAUUGAGCCAGCAGCAGGGAAACGCUGAAUUUGCGACUAGUUUUACAUCAAAUUACUUUACAGUUGUUGACUACUAGAUGAAGAAAGCGGGGCUGUCUACUUUAUCUUUAUGUUUGAAAGGAAACUAUGCUCGCUGUCUCAGACUUUGAAAACCUCUGAGCUUGGCCCACCGUGGAAUAGGUUUGACACUAUGGACUAUGUCAAUCUGUGGACAUACAUUUAGUCCCACCAACUGAAUGUUGUGUAUCAAAGAGAUGCCACAACAUGUCCUCUUCCUUGAGGUGAUCCUGGCAAAGAGAGAUGCAGCAUCCCUCUGGCUUUGACAUGCAAGCUUGUCACUGACAUUGUCAGUGACUCUCCUUUCAAAAGAAGGCCCUUUAUGCCUGGCUGGAGGCUCCUGAUCGCCCACCGGCUCCAUCUCUCGGUCCGUGCACCGAGGGGGAGCCUCCGCCAGCUCCGGUUCCCGUCCUGAGGUGGAGCCUUCGCCUUCGUGCCCCACCCCCCCAGCUUUUUUUCCUUAUAUCUUGUGGAUGGAGCUGCGCCU